GAUGAACGCUGGCGGCGUGCCUAAUACAUGCAAGUCGAGCGAACAGACGAGGAGCUUGCUCCUCUGACGUUAGCGGCGGACGGGUGAGUAACACGUGGAUAACCUACCUAUAAGACUGGGAUAACUUCGGGAAACCGGAGCUAAUACCGGAUAACAUGUUGAACCGCAUGGUUCAACAGUGAAAGACGGUCUUGCUGUCACUUAUAGAUGGAUCCGCGCCGCAUUAGCUAGUUGGUAAGGUAACGGCUUACCAAGGCAACGAUGCGUAGCCGACCUGAGAGGGGGAUCGGCCACACUGGAACUGAGACACGGUCCAGACUCCUACGGGAGGCAGAAGUAGGGAAUCUUCCGCAAUGGGCGAAAGCCUGACGGAGCAACGCCGCGUGAGUGAAGAAGGUCUUCGGAUCGUAAAACUCUGUUAUUAGGGAAGAACAAAUGUGUAAGUAACUAUGCACGUCUUGACGGUACCUAAGCAGAAAGCCACGGCUAACUACGG
rnacentral:rRNA from 1 species